UUAAGGUGAUAAGAGAAAGUAGUUAGUCAUCGCAUUUAGAAUAGAGAAAAGAGUAAUAAGUGAACAAGUAAUCUUCACGUUCCUGCAUACCUCAGUUACCUAAUAUGAAGGCUUUGUGGACUCUACGUGGUUGGUAAGGCGAGUUUCGUGUAUGCUCGUGAGUCUGAGAGUCCGGCGAUGCUUAGGCCUGGCUGCAGUGCGGGUGUUGUGAGCCGUGGCAGGGACAGUCACAGGACGGGCCAUCCGCAUAGGUAUUGGCCCUAGCGCAGGAGAAGCAAGGCGUGGCGUCAUUCUCUGCGUGUGGGCGUGCGGGCGUCUGCGUGCACCCACAAGAAUGCUGUCUGUUGCUCCUACACGUACCUCUGUUACAACGGAGAGUAGCUUUUUCACCCCAGUCCGCGAUGUUUGCCUUUUCUAUUCCCCCAUCAUCGCACAGAGCACCAUCCGAGUCCCUCAUCCACUCGCCCUGACUCUGACGCCCCUCGCAAGCGUCGCACCCACCACCAGCCUCUCUGUUGCACCCUCGAGUCUUUCCUCCUCCCCAGCCUGCGUCGUUGGCCAUCUCCGCCAUCUCUUCUUUUCCGCUCCUGUCUCUAAUUUCUGAUGACUCUGAUACCUCCAUCCUCCCUUGAUCAUUCUCAUCCUCAUUGCACUUCCCACACACCCCUCUGUUGUAUCCUUGAACUCUUUCACACCCCUCUCUCUGAUACGGUCCACAGCUUCCUACGAUUUGGCCUCUCCCCAUUCUCUCUCUCCCUCGUCCUUUCCAAGCGUCCGGGGUCUGGUUCGGGUUAUCAGAGGACAGAGGAAGGGGGUAGCUGUUCAACGUGGGAUCAGGGGAGUGGCUUUCAACGGGUGGCUUCGGUUGAGGCGACAUGAAGGGGAAGAACGUAGUUAUGGGAGAGAGGCGGGAGGUGAGGUUCCUUGGGGUGGAUGGUGAGGUGAGGUUUUGAGGUGGUGAUGUGGUGGUGUUUUGUGGAGUUGAGAGGGUGGUGUUCUGCGGAGGUGAGGUCACGUUCUGCGGAGGUGAGGUCACGUUCUGCGGAGGUGAGGUCAUGUUCUGCGGAGGUGAGGUCACGUUCUGCGGAGGUGAGGUCACGUUCUGUGGAGGUGCUGUCAAGUUCUGUGGAGGAGGUGGUGUUAAGUUCUGUGGAGGAGGUGGUGUCAGGUUCUGUGGAGGAGGUGGUGUCAGGUUCUGUGGAGGAGGUGGUGUCAGGUUCUGUGGAGGAGGUGGUGUCAGGUUCUGUGGAGGAGGUGGUGUCAGGUUCUGUGGAGGAGGUGGUGUCAGGUUCUGUGGAGGAGGUGGUGUCAAGUUCUGUGGAGGAGGUGGUGUCAAGUUCUGUGGAGGAGGUGGUGUCAAGUUCUGUGGAGGAGGUGGUGUCAAGUUCUGUGGAGGAGGUGGCGUCAAGUUCUGUGGAGGAGGUGGCGUCAGGUUCUGGGGAGGUGGCGUCAGGUUCUGGGGAGGUGAUGUAACGUUCUGAAAGACAGGUAACACAGACUGCGGUGGUGUUACAAGAGGCAGAGGUGGUGAGGUUAGAUUCUGGGGAAACUGUGUGACUGCUUCAGGAGGUGACUGUGGUGAGGGCGGCGGGAGGGGACUCAAGGACUGGGGCUGGUCGAAGCUCACCCCGGAGUAUGCGAAGGAGGUGGUGGUUGGGGGGGCCUUGAAGACCUCCGAGAGAAUGGCGGCUGAUAGCGGUUCAUCCUUGCCCAACACGAAAACAUCCACGCCUUCCCCAGCAUCCUCUAGUGGCCUCCUGUUGUCUUCUUCCUCCUGUUCUGCCUCUCCCGGUUCCCAGUUUUCCGUCACCAUCGCCCCCAGGUCCUCCUCUUCACCAACCCCCAACAACACCGUAUCCUCACUGUCUAAUGGCGUCUCUUCCCGGCCUCCUCCUCCCUCACUUCCUUGGUACCGUUGUCGGCAAUACUCUUCUUCGGCCACCCCUGACGCAUAUAGAUCUUGGGGUUCUCCAGGGUUUGUGAGCUUGAAACCGCCACGUUCCGCCCCGUUAGCCAGGAGAGCGAGGCCACCCGCUACCUCCUCGUCUUCGGCAGCUUGUAACUCCUCUAGGUCUCGCGGUUCUCCGUGGUUCGCGAGCUCGAAGACGCCGCGUUCUACCCCGUUAGCCAAGAGAGUGGAACCACCCGCCACCGCCCACGCGAACGAUACCAAAACCAGGAAUUUGAACAUGAGAUCUAGUUAAUUAUUAUGUUUGUCGCCGCGAAACUGCCCCAAAACGAAAGCGAUGUGAACGGAUCGAGCUUGGUGUCUCGCCCUGCACGCACGUUUAGUUUCGCAUUACGGUCUUAUGAGUGAAUGGAGAGGGAGGGGGAGAGUAAUCA